rnacentral:snRNA from 1 species
UUGCUCAUUUCAGCAGCACAUAUACUAAAAUUAGAACCAUACGGAGAAAGAUUAGCAUGGCCCCGGAGCAAGGAUGACCUGCAGAUUCAUGAAGCGUCCAUGUUUUUA